AUUGAACGCUGGCGGCAGGCUUAACACAUGCAAGUCGAGCGGAGAUGAGGUGCUUGCACCUCAUCUUAGCGGCGGACGGGUGAGUAAUGCUUAGGAAUCUGCCUAUUAGUGGGGGACAACAUUCCGAAAGGUAUGCUAAUACCGCCUACGUCCUACGGGAGAAAGCAGGGGAACUUCGGACCUUGCGCUAAUAGAUGAGCCUCAGUCGGAUUAGCUAGUUGGUGGGGUAAAGGCCUACCAAGGCGACGAUCUGUAGCGGGUCUGAGAGGAUGAUCCGCCACACUGGGACUGAGACACGGCCCAGACUCCUACGGGAGGCAGCAGUGGGGAAUAUUGGACAAUGGGCGGGAGCCUGAUCCAGCCAUGCCGCGUGUGUGAAGAAGGCCUUUUGGUUGUAAAGCACUUUAAGCGAGGAGGAGGCUACCUAGAUUAAUACUCUGGGAUAGUGGACGUUACUCGCAGAAUAAGCACCGGCUAACUCUGUGCCAGCCGCCGCCGUAACAC
rnacentral:rRNA from 1 species